CUUAAAUGGUGUGGACGCAGAUCUGUGGGUUAGAAUAAAUUGUUGCUCGCAUCCCGCAGUGACGGAGCCGGGUGGGAGCAGGAGUGCUAGGUGAUACCUCUCAUUUCUGGAGUAUUCCGGGUCGUUAUCGUUUAAAACAUAUCACUAUAGAACAGCAGAAUGGCGGGCGCUGGUCAAUCUUUCAUCGUUAGCAUGAUUUGCUUGGUUCCACCUUCAACAAAUUUAGAAACAAACAUGGGAAAAUCAGAGCUUGCUCUCAACCAGCAUUGCCAUUGGAAGCAGAUUUUUUAUUAACAAUAAGUAAUUAUGUGAAUAAUUGAGUAAUGAAAAAAUAGAUAAAAUAUCAACC